UUUGCCUUCACAUGCUUCAUGUUAUACCCGAAAGUAUCUUGUUUUAGGAUAUUUGGUUAGUCACCCGUAAGAAUGAAAUCAAAGUAUAGCACUUCACACAUAAAACAACUUAGUGUUUCAAGUUUAGGGAGUAUUUACACAACUGACACAUGAGAAGUAUUUGCAUAGACACUUGAGUGAAAUACCAAAUGCACUUCUCAUGGUGGGUCUUCUUCAGUGAACUUACUCUUUUAGGCAAGCAUCUACAUUCUAGUUCUAAUUAUCUCUAUACUUCAACAUAUGAGAUCAGUUGCUUACUUCUUAAGUAAGGAACAUAAAAUGUACUAGUUUCUAGGUAUCAUUGAUAUCCAGUCUCAAUGAUAUAUU
rnacentral:lncRNA from 1 species